ACCUGAUGAUGCAGCCGCCCAGGGCUGGGAUCUGGGGCCUCAGUUGGGGGCUCGCUGCCUGCGCUCCCCCAGCACCUGCCGCCCGGUCCGGGACACCGUGUGUGCCAGCUUCUGCAGGGAGUACCUGAAUACCUGCGGAUCCUUGCUGCCUUGGUGAUCCCGGGCUGACAGCCAGAGAGCACAGCGGCUCAGCUCCUGGAGAGAGAGUCGAAGAAAACGGAGGGCAGCCACCUUGCCUGCUGGCUCCCAUUAGGUCGGUUCCUGCAGCGGUGCUUGGCAGCCUUGGUGAAGGCCCUGCCCGGCAGAGAUCAUGUAUUGCCUCCAGUGGCUGCUGCCCGUCCUCCUCAUCCCCAAGCCCC